GACGAACGCUGGCGGCGUGCUUAACACAUGCAAGUCGAACGAGACCUUCGGGUCUAGUGGCGCACGGGUGCGUAACGCGUGGGAACCUGCCCUUAGGUUCGGAAUAACUCCCCGAAAGGGGUGCUAAUACCGGAUAAUGUCUUCGGACCAAAGAUUUAUCGCCUUUGGAUGGGCCCGCGUUGGAUUAGCUAGUUGGUAGGGUAAAAGCCUACCAAGGCGACGAUCCAUAGCUGGUCUGAGAGGAUGAUCAGCCACACUGGGACUGAGACACGGCCCAGACUCCUACGGGAGGCAGCAGUGGGGAAUAUUGGACAAUGGGCGAAAGCCUGAUCCAGCAAUGCCGCGUGAGUGAUGAAGGCCUUAGGGUUGUAAAGCUCUUUUACCCGGGAUGAUAAUGACAGUACCGGGAGAAUAAGCUCCGGCUAACUCCGUG
rnacentral:rRNA from 1 species